GAUGAACGCUGGCGGCGUGCCUAAUACAUGCAAGUCGAGCGAACAGAUGAGGAGCUUGCUCCUCUGACGUUAGCGGCGGACGGGUGAGUAACACGUGGAUAACCUACCUAUAAGACUGGGAUAACUUCGGGAAACCGGAGCUAAUACCGGAUAAUAUAUUGAACCGCAUGGUUCAAUAGUGAAAGACGGUUUUGCUGUCACUUAUAGAUGGAUCCGCGCCGCAUUAGCUAGUUGGUAAGGUAACGGCUUACCAAGGCAACGAUGCGUAGCCGACCUGAGAGGGUGAUCGGCGACGCUGGAACUGAAACACGGUCCAGACUCCUACGGAGGGAAGCAGUAGGGACUCUUCCGCAAUGGGCGAAAGCCUGACGGAGCAACGCGGCGUGAGUGAUGAAGGUCUUCGGAUCGUAAAACUCUGUUAUUAGGGAAGAACAAAUGUGUAAGUAACUAUGCACGUCUUGACGGUACCUAAUCAGAAAGCCACGGCUAACUACGUG
rnacentral:rRNA from 1 species